AAAUUGAAGAGUUUGAUCAUGGCUCAGAUUGAACGCUGGCGGCAGGCCUAACACAUGCAAGUCGAACGGUAACAGGAAGCAGCUUGCUGCUUCGCUGACGAGUGGCGGACGGGUGAGUAAUGUCUGGGAAACUGCCUGAUGGAGGGGGAUAACUACUGGAAACGGUAGCUAAUACCGCAUAACGUCGCAAGACCAAAGAGGGGGACCUUCGGGCCUCUUGCCAUCAGAU
rnacentral:rRNA from 1 species